rnacentral:sRNA from 1 species
CUUGGUCAUUUAGAGGAAGUAAAAGUCGUAACAAGGUCUCCGUAGGUGAACCUGCGGAGGGAUCAUUACAAGAACGCCCGGGCUUCGGCCUGAUUAUUCAUAACCCUUUGUUGUCCGACUCUGUUGCCUCCGGGGCGACCCUGCCUUCGGGCGGGGGCUCCGGGUGGACACUUCAAACUCUUGCGUAACUUUGCAGUCUGAGUAAACUUAAUUAAUAAAUUAAAACUUUCAACAACGGAUCUCUUGGUUCUGGCAUCGAUGAAGAACGCAGCGAAAUGCGAUAAGUAAUGUGAAUUGCAGAAUUCAGUGAAUCAUCGAAUCUUUGAACGCACAUUGCGCCCCCUGGUAUUCCGGGGGGCAUGCCUGUUCGAGCGUCAUUUCACCACUCAAGCCUCGCUUGGUAUUGGGCAACGCGGUCCGCCGCGUGCCUCAAAUCGUCCGGCUGGGUCUUCUGUCCCCUAAGCGUUGUGGAAACUAUUCGCUAAAGGGUGUUCGGGAGGCUACGCCGUAAAACAACCCCAUUUCUAAGGUUGACCUCGGAUCAGGUAGGGAUACCCGCUGAACUUAAGCAUAUCAAUAAGCGGAGGAAAAGAAACCAACAGGGAUUGCUCUAGUAACGGCGAGUGAAGCAGCAAUAGCUCAAAUUUGAAAUCUGGCGUCUUCGACGUCCGAGUUGUAAUUUGUAGAGGAUGCUUCUGAGUGGCCACCGACCUAAGUUCCUUGGAACAGGACGUCAUAGAGGGUGAGAAUCCCGUAUGCGGUCGGAAAGGCGCUCUAUACGUAGCUCCUUCGACGAGUCGAGUUGUUUGGGAAU